rnacentral:rRNA from 1 species
UAGGGAAUCUUCCGCAAUGGACGCAAGUCUGACGGAGCAACGCCGCGUGAGUGAAGAAGGAUUUCGGUUCGUAAAACUCUGUUGUUAGAGAAGAACAGCGCAUAGAGUAACUGUUAUGCGUGUGACGGUAUCUAACCAGAAAGCCACGGCUAACUACGUGCCAGCAGCCGUGGUAAUACGUAGGUGGCAAGCGUUGUCUGGAUUUAUUGGGCGUAAAGCGAGCGAAGGCGGUUAGAAAAGUCUGAAGUGAAAGGCAGUGGCUCAACCCUUGUAGGCUUUGGAAACUGUUUAACUUGAGUGCAGAAGGGGAGUGUGGAAUUCCAUGUGUAGCGGUGAAAUGCGUAGAGAUAUGGAGGAACGCCGGUGGCGAAAGCGGCUCUCUGGUCUGUAACUGACGCUGAGGCUCGAAAGCGUGGGUAGCAAACAGG